UACGUAGGGUGCGAGCGUUAAUCGGAAUUACUGGGCGUAAAGCGCGCGCAGGCGGUUUUGUAAGCCCGAUGUGAAAUCCCCGGGCUUAACCUGGGAAUGGCAUUUGGGACUGCAAGGCUCGAGUGCGGCAGAGGAGACUGGAAUUCCUGGUGUAGCAGUGAAAUGCGUAGAUAUCAGGAGGAACACCGAUGGCGAAGGCAGGUCUCUGGGCUGACACUGACGCUCAUGCACGAAAGCGUGGGGAGCAAACAGG
rnacentral:rRNA from 1 species